rnacentral:rRNA from 1 species
UACGUAGGGGGCAAGCGUUGUCCGGAAUCAUUGGGCGUAAAGAGCGUGUAGGCGGCCCGAUAAGUCCGCCGUGAAAGUCCAGGGCUCAACCCUGGAAUGCCGGUGGAAACUGUCGGGCUGGAGUCCGGAAGAGGCGAGUGGAAUUCCUGGUGUAGCGGUGAAAUGCGCAGAUAUCAGGAGGAACACCAAUGGCGAAGGCAGCUCGCUGGGACGGUACUGACGCUGAGGAGCGAAAGCCAGGGGAGCAAACGGGA